AUUUGGUGUCUAAGAUAAGUUGGGUAGAUGCGAUCGACUGGUUUUUAAUUGGGAGCUACUCGACUCGAAUGCAUUCUUAUCAAGUUAAUGGCAUAUCCCUUCCAUCGGUCUCACUUACUUGGCCAUAUGUGUCGACCCAAUUCUGAUUUGAGGUGGCUAAUAAUUCGAGCUAACCCAUACCACUAGGUUAGUCAUAAUUGUUAUGACUAUGUCAAGUCAAGUUUAAUGAGACCUAAAUCAAAUCUCCUUAAGAAAAUAUUAAGUCUAAGGUCUUCCACCAGUAUGGAUGUGCGGGCCCUUUCCGAGGUUGAUUGUUCUCGGCUGG
rnacentral:lncRNA from 1 species